AGAGCUUAUUCAACCAGAAAAAGCUUAUGUAUGACUAUUAAAUAAUUAAAUAAAUAAAUAAAUAAAUAAAAAAAAAAAAUAAAAAAAAAAACAAAAAAAAAAAUGAAUAAUGAACAAUGAACAAUGAGUGUUAAGUCCAUC
rnacentral:rRNA from 1 species